AUUUCCACAGAGGUUCUCCAUUUAAUAGAAGAAGAGCACCAGGCUGAGUGUUUCAUCCAUUGGUGGGAAGGGAAGGGAAGGGAAGGGAAGGGAAGGGAAGGGAAGGGAAGGGAAGGGAAGGGAAGGGACGGGCUUAUAAUCUUGAAAAUGUUUUCUUUUUCCAGUAAAUAUCUUUCUGUCUUUCUCUGGAAACAUUUAUUUCAUCAGCAAGCAUGCUAUGAGUCUCCUAAUUGCUGAUCUUCACAAAAGGAUGUAGCAGACAAAGUUAUUCUGAAUUCUGUUUCAAGCUCAAGUAGUUAUUAUUAUCUGCCCACAGCCAUUUCAGAAUCAAUAGAAAAAUCAUUACAAUACCACUCAGCACUGUUGUUGUAUGCCUGGGUUAAAAUGCUUUAUAUGUUUGCAUUUUAAGUGAAUACUUUUCAGUCUUCACUUGAACCUCUGAAUUUUGGGGAGAGUUACAGUUAUAAAACACCCUACACUUUAAAUGCAUGAACAAAAGCUUUGUUCUAGUUCUCACAAUUUCUAUUUUUUUCAGUAGAUUUCCCUUUUUUAGCAUUAGAAAUUCUUUUGAGCUAAAUUUGCACAGCAGUAUUUCUAAUAAAAAGAUUGGGAAAUUUUGCAGUAAUUUAAAAUAUCUUAUGCUAGGUAAUUUCUGUAGAAAAUUUCCAACCAGCAACUUCAGAAGGGUCAUUUUCAUCCCAAGACAGAGUUUCAAGAGUGGAUCCUGCUCCCAACUUUGCCACAAAUCUGCUGAGAGGGACUGUUCUCUGUUACAGUGCUUGGCUUCCCCUCCAGCCCAUUCCAGCCAGAAAUUGAAAGCAGGAUGUGUGCAAGCCUAUCCAAGAGACGAGGAACAAACAACACAGCUAAAGCGAUGGCAGCCUCCAGGGAAACAUUCUGGAGAUUCAGCUGCCUCAUCCAGCCUUCAGUGUAGUGACAACUGCUCAUAGCAGGGAUCUCCAGCAACCUGUGGAGGAGUGGUUGGCAGUUCAGCUGAUCAGCAGUAAAAUUCAGGGAUGAAACAAAGCCAGGUAUUUCUCAGGUGGGACACAGGAGACCCUCUGCCACAUAUGAACAAUGAUUUGGCAACUGGUUAGGUUUUUUUAUAUCCUAUGUUGGAUUUUGUCUAAGCCUCUCCUGUCAGCGUCUUUGUUCCACUUUGUGCAAGUAAACCCCACAUACCCAGAGAAAGCCACAUAGCCAAGGGGAUGACCUACCCAUCUGAGAGCAGGAGAUAUCUCAGCCCCUGUUUGCACACUGCUGCAUCCCACCUGCAGCUCAGCAUCACUCAAUGGCAGUGGCUGCUCUCAGAUCACUUGCUGCCUCUCAUUGAUGAGCUAAAGAUUUAUGGUUUCAUUACAAAAUGCUUAGCAUUGCAAUCUGCACUUUAAUGACUUAUUUGAAACCACUUUUGUGUUAGACAUAUGAUUAAAAGCAAUAAAGCUUGUAAUAUUUUUCUCUCCUCA
rnacentral:lncRNA from 1 species